rnacentral:rRNA from 1 species
CGCGCAGGCGGUCUUGUCUGUCAGGUGUGAAAGCUCGGGGCUCAACCCCGGAAGUGCACUUGAAACAGCAAGACUUGAAUACGGGAGAGGAGAGAGGAAUUCCUGGUGUAGAGGUGAAAUUCGUAGAUAUCAGGAGGAACACCGAUGGCGAAGGCAUCUCUCUGGACCGAUAUUGACGCUGAGGCGCGAAGGCGUGGGUAGCGAACG